GCCGGUAGUGGCAGUUGGGCUCUGAUGGAAUUCCUGAAGAGGUCCCGUGGUGCACGCGUGCAUUCUAAAAAUAAAGUUUAUUCCUGCUUGUUAAGUGGCUUGUGAAUUGUGCCCAGCCAGACUGCGGCAUUUGGUGGCCUGGACGAGGACUGCUGCUCUUAGCUGGGGGCUGACAAUGCGUCCACCUUCCCCAGCCCCAGCUUACCCUCUGUAAAAGCAGGAGUGAUGGUCGCUGCCCCUCAGCCCUGAAGACGAUAAGGACUCGGAUAUGCUUGCUUGUCGUAAUUAUUGGCACUGGGCUUUAUACUUAAUUGAAAAGGUUCUGGCCUCACUCUCCCAGACUACUUGUCAGUGUUGCAAGUCCCUCGUUCCUGGUGACUGCUGGGGCCCAGGAUUAUGAAGCUUGCUGCAAUCAGUCUGUGGGUAUUAGCAGCCUCUUCACUGGUGGUUACUGUUUCCCAAAUACUCUGUGAAACUGGAAUAUGCUGAGUUGAAAAAGAAAACCUCAACUAGACUCUAACACAGCCUUGCUCAAGCAUCUAUUUUUCUCAAAGAAAACAAUCCUAGAAGCAUGUUUACACGUUUAAUUGUAAGAAAUAGUGUGUAUUUUGUGAAUGCAUGAUUCCAUUUGAUUUGGAGAUAUUUGUUCAUGUAGAAGAGAACAAUAAACCUAAGAAAGUAAAUAUCCUUAUAUGAAACAGUUUAAAUCUGACAGGAUGUAUUCUCACAGUGGUUGGAUCACCACUUUUGCACUUGACUUUUGAGUGCUUGUAAUUAAACGUUUGUGUUUCUUCAUUAA